rnacentral:rRNA from 1 species
UGUAGCAUCUAGGCAAUCUUGACUAAUGUUGAAAAAACCAAAUCAAGUCAAGACUAGUACUAUUUGGAUGGAAAACCACCAUGAAACCUCAGGGCUGCUACCU